rnacentral:rRNA from 1 species
GACGAACGCUGGCGGCGUGCUUAACACAUGCAAGUCGAACGGAAAGGCCCUGCUUUUGUGGGGUGCUCGAGUGGCGAACGGGUGAGUAACACGUGAGUAACCUGCCCUUGACUUUGGGAUAACUCCAGGAAACUGGGGCUAUUACCGGAUAGGAGCUCCUGCUGCAUGGUGUGGGAUGGAAAGAUUCGGCGGUUGGGUAUGGACUCGCGGGUUAUCAGCUUGUUGGUGGGGUAGUGGCUUACCAAGGCUUUGACGGGUAGCCGGCCUGAGAGGGUGACCGGCCACAUUGGGACUGAGAUACGGCCCAGACUCCUACGGGAGGCAGCAGUGGGGAAUAUUGCACAAUGGGCGGAAGCCUGAUGCAGCAACGCCGCGUGCGGGAUGACGGCCUUCGGGUUGUAAACCGAUUUCGCCUGUGACGAAGCGUGAGUGACGGUAAUGGGUAAAGAAGCACCGGCUAACUACGUG